rnacentral:lncRNA from 1 species
ACAAGAUUUGUUACAGGCUCUUAUUGUAGUUUGGUCCUCCAAUCUAUUAUACUGUCAGCUGUUGCUGGAUUGUAUUUACAAAAUUAAUCCUUUCUGAAUUUGCCUUUUACCAUCUUGUUUUGUGACUUAUAUUUUAGUCUAGUUCUUCGUGUUUUUGGAAACAUCUUGCGAGUUUGAAAGGUGGUGUGGAGAGGUGAGAAGCAACAACACAAGAACAAAGAGCCAGCACUGGACUUCUUGAUGAAUAAUAUAGUUAUGC